rnacentral:lncRNA from 1 species
GAAUGGAAUGGAGUGUAAAGGAAUUGAAUAGAAUCAACCCGAAUGGAAUGGAAUGGAAUGGAACGGAAUGGAAUGGAAUGGAAUGGAAUGGAAUGCAAAGGAAUGGAAUCAACCCGAGUGGAAUGGCAUGGAAUGGAAUGGAAUGGAAUGGAAUGGAAUGGAAUGGAAUGGAAUGGAAUGGUACGCAAUAGAAUGGAAUGGAACGAAAUGGAACGGAAUGGAUUCAACCCAAUUGGAAUGGAAUCGAAUGGAAUUGAAUUGUGUGGAACGGA